AUGGCUCAGGAUGAACGCUAGCGACAGGCCUAACACAUGCAAGUCGAGGGGCAUCGGGGCGAGGAGCAAUCCUUGCCGCCGGCGACCGGCGCACGGGUGAGUAACGCGUAUGCGACCUGCCCGUUGCAGGGGGAUAAUCGGGAGAAAUCCCGUCUAAUACCGCGUAAUGCCGCGGGGCUGCAUGGCCCUGCGGCCAAAGGAAGCGAUUCCGGCAACGGAUGGGCAUGCGUGACAUUAGCUAGUUGGCGGGGCAACGGCCCACCAAGGCGACGAUGUCUAGGGGUUCUGAGAGGAAGGUCCCCCACACUGGUACUGAAACACGGACCAGACUCCUACGGGAGGCAGCAGUGAGGAAUAUUGGUCAAUGGGCGCGAGCCUGAACCAGCCAAGUCGCGUGAGGGAUGACGGCCCUACGGGUUGUAAACCUCUUUUGUCGGGGAGCAAAUUCCGCCACGUGUGGCGGAGUCGAGAGUACCCGAAGAAAAAGCAUCGGCUAACUCCGUGCCAGCAGCCGCGGUAAUACGGAGGAUGCGAGCGUUAUCCGGAUUUAUUGGGUUUAAAGGGUGCGUAGGCGGACUGUCAAGUCAGCGGUAAAAUACGGGGGCUCAACCUCCGCCCGCCGUUGAAACUGACGGUCUUGAGUGGGCGAGAAGUAUGCGGAAUGCGUGGUGUAGCGGUGAAAUGCAUAGAUAUCACGCAGAACUCCGAUUGCGAAGGCAGCAUACCGGCGCCCAACUGACGCUGAAGCACGAAAGCGUGGGUAUCGAACAGGAUUAGAUACCCUGGUAGUCCACGCAGUAAACGAUGAAUACUAGCUGUCCGGGGCGAAUGAGCCCUGGGUGGCACAGCGAAAGCGUUAAGUAUUCCACCUGGGGAGUACGCCGGCAACGGUGAAACUCAAAGGAAUUGACGGGGGCCCGCACAAGCGGAGGAACAUGUGGUUUAAUUCGAUGAUACGCGAGGAACCUUACCCGGGCUCAAACGACACAGGAACGUACCUGAAAGGGUUCGGCUCUACGGAGCCUGUGUCGAGGUGCUGCAUGGUUGUCGUCAGCUCGUGCCGUGAGGUGUCGGCUUAAGUGCCAUAACGAGCGCAACCCCCAUCGACAGUUGCUAACAGGUCAGGCUGAGGACUCUGUCGAGACUGCCGGCGCAAGCUGCGAGGAAGGCGGGGAUGACGUCAAAUCAGCACGGCCCUUACGUCCGGGGCGACACACGUGUUACAAUGGCAGGUACAGCGGGAAGCCACCUGGCGACAGGGAGCGGAACCCGAAAGCCUGUCUCAGUUCGGAUUGGAGUCUGCAACCCGACUCCAUGAAGCUGGAUUCGCUAGUAAUCGCGCAUCAGCCACGGCGCGGUGAAUACGUUCCCGGGCCUUGUACACACCGCUCGUCAAGCCAUGGAAGCCGGGGGUGCCUGAAGUGCGCUGCCGCGAGGAGCGCCCUAGGGUAAAACCGGUGACUGGGGCUAAGUCGUAACAAGG
rnacentral:rRNA from 1 species